AUUUACAACCUCCCUGGAUUUUGAAGACAUUAUCGAGGACUUCGCCUCAUCAAAACUUAGGAGAAAGCAUCUGUAAAGAUCGUGAUGAUGCUGUCAAGACGUGUUUCUGCUGCGAUGGAGGCCUGCGAUGCUGGAAGGCUGAAGAUUAUCCCUGAGUGGAGCAUGCUAAAUGGUUUCCUCAGUGUGAAUAUGGGCUCCAGGAGAAGGGACAAGAAUUUUUGUUCACCCAAUUCAGGCUCGUUUUCCUUGGCUGUCUGAGCAGAGUGCAGUCUAGUAAAGCACACCGUCCAGAGAAACAUCCAGACCAGUGGAGAGAACUGCUGAACAGUCCAGACCAGGAGCUGAGCUGCUGAGUGUUGAAUACCAGAAAAUGGAAGAGAGGUGAUGGUUGUCCAUGAAAAUAAACAUC